UACGUAGGGUGCGAGCGUUGUCCGGAAUUAUUGGGCGUAAAGGGCGCGUAGGCGGUUUGCUAAGUCUGCUGUGAAAGUCCAGGGCUCAACCCUGGAAGGCCGGUGGAAACUGUCGGGCUAGAGUCCGGAAGAGGCGAGUGGAAUUCCCGGUGUAGCGGUGAAAUGCGCAGAUAUCGGGAGGAACACCAAUGGCGAAGGCAGCUCGCUGGGACGGUACUGACGCUGAGACGCGAAAGCGUGGGGAGCAAACAGG
rnacentral:rRNA from 1 species